GGAGGCAGAGAACCGCGGGCCCGGGGGCCACCCGUCACUUUCAAGUCGCCCCGCCAGAAGCCCAGGGCGAGGAAAAGGAGAGAGACAAAAGAGCGCUGCGGGGGGAGUCCCCACACCCCCCGCGGCCCCGCACACGGCCCGGCUCUUACUCGUAGUGGCGGAAGAUCUCGUUGGUGACUUUACAGUAGAAAACUUCCUCGUCGGGCCGCAGGUCCGCGGGCGGCUUCUGUCUCACAAACGGCUUUCGGUGUAGCAGCGGCAUCUCCCGUCCGCCCGCGGGCUCGCCUGGACCCUCGGCCGCCCGCGCCGGCCCCGCUUCCCUAUCAAAAUUGGAGGGAAAGGAAAGCCGGUAAGGUGGGGAGCCCUCGGCGGCAGCGUGGGCCGGUCCGCGCGCUGGGAGAAGCUCGGCUGCCUUUUGUGUGACUGACGCGCCGCGGCCGCUACCGGAGCCGAGUUCGUUCCUGCCGCUGCCCGGGUGUCGAGCGAGCGGAGCCGCCGCCGCCCCUGCCCCCCGAGCGCGCCCUACCUCCUCUCGUCCUGCCGCCGCCUCACAAUGGGGCAGGACGCCCCGCCGCGGGGGGCAGUGCGGGAGCGGCGGCGGCCCCCUCCCCCAGCGCCGGCUCCUCGCCCGCCGCCGCCGCCAGGCUCACAACGUGCUCGGCGCGCAGCUGGCCGGCCGGCCAGCCCAACGCCGCCAGAGCGCUCGCCGCGGGCGGACCCCGGAGCUGCUCCGCUUUGUUCCCGGCUCGCCUCCACUUCCCCGCCGGCGCCGGCCGGCUCCCGAGCGACCCUCACCUGCGAUCACGCCGACUGCCACUUGUCCACCUUCUCCACUACAAAGGCAACGAGGGGAGACCCCGUCCUCCCAGGGGACCGCCUCUCUCCGGCCCCGCCGCGCCCCUGGCUGCCGCUUCUCCCGCUGCCACUGCCCGACUCCGCGCGGGGAAUUGCGUCCCACCGCCACUUCCCCGCCUCUCGGAGCUCCUGGGAAGUUUCUGAUCUACUUUCGGCUCUGAAGGAGGAAGAGCUGUUGGGAGGAGCUUUUCACUCCUCGCUUCUACCUUUUUAUUGGCUACUCGAUGACUUUUACAGCCUGUCACUGAUACAGGAAGAGACAGCGGAGAGCCUGGGAGAACUACAUUAUUAAUUAAUGGAGCAACCCCUCGUGAAGAUUCAGAAGCAUCCUCCAUGUUUGAGAUUAUCAGCCAAAAGAUCUAGGGAAAGCGCUGGGGGUUCAUAAACACAUGGCUAACAAAGUAAAGCCUUCAAGUCUGGCACAGACUCUUGACUACACGAUGGGAAAAGGGAUUCCAAUUACGAUUUAACUUGUAUUUUAAAGAUGAGAAAAGAAAUGAAUAAGAAAAUUUGUUGCUAUUUUUCUUCUUCCAAAUUAGAAUCUAUAUCUCUAAAAAUACUUUGCAUGUUUAGUAAACAUCCAUCUUGAACAGAAGAUACCUUGACAUCAGUUCUAUUUAAUACUUAUGGCAAUUAAGAGAUUUAGAAAGCAGAGGAAAAGACCAAAAAAAAAGUAUGUGUUACAAAGUGUCAUCAUGCUUGUAGGACCCCAGCAUUCUUGAAACUAACGCACCUUUAAAAAGUAAUAUUUACACUGCUGUAAAUAUUUGCAAAGUAUCAAUGUUUAAUUCACUUAGAAUUUUAAGGAUUAUGGAUUUACUAGCGAAAAUUCCCCUAAAGCAACUUUCCCAUAUCAGUAACUUUUAUUUAGGGAAACAAGUUUAAUGUACAUAAUACAUGUGACCUUGGAAUUCAAUAGAAUUUUCGAAACUAGAAGUAACUCAGAACGUUCACUAGAUGUGUUUUAAAGUCUUUUUUGAUACUGUCCUUAACAUUUGCUUAUUUGCAAAUUAAUAUGUAAGAAUGAGUCUAAAAGUAAGUUUUAGGAAUGGUUAUUCGACAAAGAUGUUAUUCCUAUUACCAAUACUGCGAAAUGAUAAUUACAGAAACAAUGUGGGAUCCGUUUUAUAACUUCAAAUUUAAGUUCCUUUGUACUUUGGAGCAGAAAAUGUAAGAAAUCGAAAUCAAGAGUUAGUAUUUUUUAUCUUUCAGGCUGGCUUUAACUGUUCAUACACCUAGCAAAAUAAACAUUUGUGAAAGGC
rnacentral:lncRNA from 1 species